rnacentral:tRNA from 1 species
GGGGAAGUGCUGGAACUGGCAGACAGGCGUGACUUAGGAUCACGUGCCGCAAGGCGUGAGGGUUCGAGUCCCUCCUUCCUCA